AGCUCCAAUAGCGUAUAUUAAAGUUGUUGCAGUUAAAAAGCUCGUAGUUGGAUUUCUGGUAGGAGCGGCCGAUCCGCCCCGUUAGGGGUGUGCAUUAGCGCUGUCUCUGGCCAUCCUUGGGGGAACUGCGCGGGGAGACUUGCGUUCGGGAACCCAUCGUUUACUGUGAAAAAAUUAGAGUGUUUAAAGCAGGCUUAUGCCGUUGAAUACAUUAGCAUGGAAUAAUAAGAUAGGACCGCGUGGUCGUCUUGUUGGUUUGCACCGCGAGGUAAUGAUUAAUAGGUACAGUUGGGGGUAUUCGUAUUUAAUUGUCAGAGGUGAAAUUCUUGGAUUUAUGAAAGACGAACUUCUGCGAAAGCAUUUACCAAGGAUGUUU
rnacentral:rRNA from 1 species